rnacentral:rRNA from 1 species
UACGGAGGGAGCUAGCGUUGUUCGGAAUUACUGGGCGUAAAGCGCACGUAGGCGGCUUUGUAAGUUAGAGGUGAAAGCCCGGGGGCUCAACUCCGGAACUGCCUUUAAGACUGCAUCGCUUGAAUCCAGGAGAGGUGAGUGGAAUUCCGAGUGUAGAGGUGAAAUUCGUAGAUAUUCGGAAGAACACCAGUGGCGAAGGCGGCUCACUGGACUGGUAUUGACGCGUGAG